rnacentral:lncRNA from 1 species
AUGAAUAAAGGUAUGAACUGUGGAACUUAUUUCUGGAUGAAGGUCUGCUUCACUGUCGUGUUCUCAGGCUUGUUUUCUGCCUUCAAAACAGCAUCAUAUGUAACAAAUGCACCAUGUAACACAACAGUAAUUAUGAAGGAAGAAAGGAUGAGAAGGUACCAUAUGUUCGUACCAUACCAGUGUGGGAAGGAAAAUGACCUUCCCUAUGUCCUUCAAGGCAAUCCACAACAGUUUUACUUGUAUCUUUAA